CCUAAAAGCAUAUCAAACUAGAGAAAAAUCAAAAGAAAAAAAAAAUGAAGAAUCAAGAUCGACUCUUUACUCUUCCAUUCUCGAAACAGCUCAGGUGAUUGGGGCUUAAAGUUUCGAACUUUACAUCCUCAAAAGUUCGAAACUUUCUUGUUUGUCAAACUCGUUGCUUCCUACAAACUGACAAAAGAAGCCUAGAGCUCCACAACCGGCGGCAAGAGCGGAGAUGACGAGCCAAUCACCGGUGUCUGUGUCUCGAUCUAUCACCAUCCACCUGUCGAAAAGGUUCAACCUUUGAUCUACAAAUCGAACCAGAGACGAGAUAUGGCGAUUGAGGCUUCUCAGAAGCUACCGUGCUUCUCACCUUCCUCACCCGUCUUCGUGACUCGGCCUUCUUUGUGACUCGGAGCGAGAAGAAAGAUGAUGACGACCGUGAUUCAACUCAAGCUCUCGAGACAAGAACCGGUUAACAAGAAACCAAGGUUUCAUCAUCUUGGAAAGUCUCUCAGAUUAGUUGGUCAAACUUGUUUUUCUUUCAAGCUGGCAAAACGAUCUCUGCGACCAUGAUUCAGUCUCGAAACAUUCAGCUUGAUUCUGGCGAGAGAGGAGAUGAUGUAUCUCUCUCGGCCAAGUGGAGUGACAAUUUGCGGAUCGAGACUUGGAUGCUCUCAUCUCCGUCAACAGCAUCAGGUUUCUGAGAUUAGUUCCGAGGAUGAGGUCUCCACCAACGGCAACGUCUCCAAGCUCCCCGCAAGUUACGACAAAGAUCGCAGUAGUUUUCAGAUAAAGGUGAAGCUUUGGUGUUGAUUCCACAAAGAGGGCUCUUGAACCAAGCACUAGCUCUGCCUCGAGGAACAAAUGGGGACUGAUCAGACUCCUGUUGGGCGUUACCUUUGGAUGUCGUGGAAGGAAAGACCGGAAGCUAGCAGUGGCGUACCACAGACAGCAUAAUGGGAAGAGGUGAGACCGGUGGUUCUUGCAAUGGGACCGUGGUCUUGUAAAGUGUACUUAUGUGGAAUGUCAUCACAAGCUUGCCGUCUCGGCACGAGCUUCUUAUCUCGACUUUCGCUUAGAUCAAGCCUCUUCAAUGGCUGCUAGUUGUGGAAGAGUUUCAAGACAAGUCAGUGACGAUAAGGCUUGGUUUCUUCACUCAGCUCUCGAGACAAGCUUGCCGUAAUCGGUACAAGCUCCUCAUCUAGAAGAAACAGCACAUGAGACAUAACCUUAUCUCCAGGUCAUCUCUCCAAGAAGCCACGACCUGUUACAUCCAGCAACUCAGUAAUCAUCUCAGAGUUCGAUCUCCGUCACCGUUAUACAAGAGUUGUCGAGCUUCUCAUCACAAAAAUCAAUAUUUGUGAUCUCAGUGCAAAGGCUUUGCCGUCAGAAGCUUGGCUAGUCCACUCAUCUCCAACGUCACGAUGCUAUCUUCUUCAAAGUUGCCGACACAUUAAAAAUAAAAAAGAUAAGUUUUCGAACUUUAUAAUAUGACCUACCAGUAUUAGAAGUUGCAUUGCUAAAUAAUCACUGGAUCAUCAUCCUUUUAUUAUAAGCUCCGCCUUGUCUCGUAACGUGUUUAGAAAGCUAAUUGCCUAGCUUUUUCUUUUCGAGAAUAUACAUGUUAAACAUUACUAUACAUACGUAUAUCACGUUUUGACCAUAUUAUUUUUAUGAUCACAGAAAAUCUGAUGAUCUCAUGAUGAGCUCUGUCACUAUGGAGCGUGAAAGACUGAGCCUUCUUGUGGGCAAGCCACCAUGAGCGAGUUUUUCUUGCAUAGAACUGGGGUCCACAUGAAGGUUAUAGGCCAAGAUCAAGCAUAAGUCAAGUUCGAUCUUGGCAGUUACGUGAUCUCUACCUCGGAUGCUUGUUUCUUCUCCACCUCAAAGACGAGCUCAUAGUCUCCGAAGUGGCACGAGAUAUACGUUCGGUCACGGCACACACGAUCUCAACACGAGAUUUCGGGUCGGCAAUAGUUCGCUCUGAUGGAAUGAGGUGAGAUGGCUACGGGUGUGGCCUAUGAUGAUUGGUCUCGAUGCUGCGUCUCGUCUUCUCCGAUACACAUAUACAUAUGUGAAGACGAAAGUGACACAGGUGAUGAGCAAGCAAGAGAGAUGAGGAACAAGGUGAUGAAGCUGAUGGUGGUGAACGACAAGCCUGAAAACUUCUUUCAGGUUUUCACUUUGACGGCUAGGUUUAGUGAAGGUUCCUAUCGACGAUGAUAAAGAAUACAUUGAAGCUAUUAAAGAAGCAAGUUUUGGUGUUCAGCAAAGUGUCUUCGUCAACUGUUUUGUACAAUGUUGCUUUCAAAUAAUACCAUAACUCCAGAAAACAUAUGGAAUGUUACUUGGAAAAUACUAUCAACAGAUAUAUCAUGCAACGAAAGGAAAAAAAUGGAUGAUACAAAUUUAAAUUUCUCAGAAGAUCAAAUUAAGAGUUUAGCUUUGGCGGAUAUCGAAUCACUCAUGCGUAUCAAUGGAAGCUCCUUGACAAUAUUUAAGAUUUGAAAUGCCUUAUCAAUAAUAUAAUCUCUGUCUAUUGUUAAAUGGUGGCUUUGAUUGCAAUUCUAUUUAUCUUUUAUGUUGUAUUUUAUUAAUAUUAAUUUAAAAUAUGUUAUUAUAAUUAAAUAACAAAGGCAUUUGUGUUCAAUA